UACGUAGGUGGCAAGCGUUGUCCGGAAUUAUUGGGCGUAAAGCGCGCGCAGGCGGUCCUUUAAGUCUGAUGUGAAAGCCCACGGCUCAACCGUGGAGGGUCAUUGGAAACUGGGGGACUUGAGUGCAGAAGAGGAAAGCGGAAUUCCACGUGUAGCGGUGAAAUGCGUAGAGAUGUGGAGGGACACCAGUGGCGAAGGCGGCUUCCUGGUCUGUAACUGACGCUGAGGCGCGAAAGCGUGGGGAGCAAACAGG
rnacentral:rRNA from 1 species